rnacentral:tRNA from 1 species
GGGGCUGGGGCUGUGGUAGAGCUCUUGCCUAGUAUGCAUGAGGCCUUGGGUUCAAUCCCAAGUAUCA